CAGUAGCCGCGGGAAUACAGAGGGUGCGAGCGUUAAUCGGAUUUACUGGGCGUAAAGCGUGCGUAGGCGGCUUUUUAAGUCGGAUGUGAAAUCCCUGAGCUUAACUUAGGAAUUGCAUUCGAUACUGGGAAGCUAGAGUAUGGGAGAGAAUGGUAGAAUUCCAGGUGUAGCGGUGAAAUGCGUAGAGAUCUGGAGGAAUACCGAUGGCGAAGGCAGCCAUCUGGCCUAAUACUGACGCUGAGGUACGAAAGCAUGGGGAGCAAACAGGAUUAGAUACCCGCGUAGUCCCUGUCUCUUAUAC
rnacentral:rRNA from 1 species